GAUUCAUGAUAAUCUUAAUAGAAUGAAAUAAAGAAAAAUACAUUUUAAAAGAGUUAAAAAGAUAUAUCCUGACUUUCAUGUUAAAAAAAUCUAUUGCUCUUGCACAGUGGGGGAAUGCUUGGAUUAACAGGUUUACAUGAAGGUGAUGUUGGGGUUUUAGCUAAGGAGUAUGGAAUUAAGGACUCUGUGUAAGAGAUGUCAGUUGUAAGACAGGAACAUGUGCACAAUUUGUGGAGCAUCUAGAAAAGGGCAAUGAUAACAUGAUUAUUGUCUUCAGAGCUGUCGUGGAAAGUGUUCCUUCUGGAACCAGAAGGGAAGCGUUUCCAGCAGGUGGAGGUUGCAAGGAGGCAUACAGAUCCUGGUUCAGUUGGAGGGAAGCAUCUACUAUAACCCAGGGACUAUGCUAACUCCUGCAAAGAAGGUGGUAUUUUUCACAGUUUUGCAGAAGGAAAAGCUAGGACUCAGAGUGGUAUCAAGAUAAAACUGUUUAGCACAAAUAAAUAGUCUCCAAAUUUCUUUCACUGGAAGUGAAGGGUGGGAUGAUCAUUUUCUAGCAAUAUUAUGAAAGAUUUCUGUAUUGGGUAGAAGGUUGGAUAAGGAGACCUCCAAAGUAAUUUCUAAUGCCAAAAUUCUUUGAUUCUAGGAUAUCCUUAUUAAAUGGCAUUGUGAAUCAGAUAUAGUCUCUUGCUGACUCACUGCCAUCACUACAAACAGACUCAUUAAUUUGGACUUAAGUUAUGAUCUUUUUACCCGGAUUUGAAGGGUUUCAGGUUACUGUUCUUAUGGAAUCAGAAAGCAGAGAUCAACUGUGUAUUAUACCUUGGACUCCUCUGUCAGCUGCCACUUCUUCUAUUAUUAGCGCAUCCUGGGCUAUAAUAUGCUACUGUCUUAUAUUUGCUCAUUUGUCUGGCCAAUGACCUCUUGGCAGCUGUUUCUCACACGGUGUCAAGCAUAUGGGCAUUGUGACAACUGUUUUCUCAAAGAUGUUUUCAUUCAUGGGCCAUGGUAUGUUCUGGAAGACCGGGGCUGCCAGAUUCCUGACCAGAAUGGAGAAAAAUGGGCCUUUAUCUAAUUUUAGUAAGUGAUUAGUCCAAAGGUUCUAACAACCUGAUGACUACAAGCUUUGUUCUUGCUUUCCAGUACCUUUAUCACAUUCUUUCCUAGACCUGUGCCUCUAACCAGCAAAUCCAAGCUAUGAAAAUGAGAGAGGGGAAUUCAGUCUUAGGAUUGCUUUUACUAGAAUCAUAGUAGUCUCCAAAUUUGUAAUUAAUAUAGAAAACUUAGCUCUCCAGGGAACUCAUAUACUUUGAUAUUGACAUACUCAAACCAUGCCAGUUGUCUGGAACAGGAAAAUAGGUUGGGGAAAGGGAGUAUGGUUGAUUUAGUGGAGAUACUUGUUUUCCAGGGGAGAAACUUGGAGGGGAAAAUAUAAUCUUUUGUAUUGUAAGCCUAGAUAAUAGGAAUUUAACCUUUCUUUCAUCAUGUAGCAAACUAAUGUGGAAUGUCUUGGGAUUCUGGACUCCUUGGAUAUACUAGAUGACCUUGUAAUUGGGGGAGCUGCUAAAGUGGUUCUCAUCUUAUUUUGAAAAUGGGUAAAGAGAUGAGAAUUUGAUUGGUAUUAGGGCUGAUCAUACGAAGAAGCAAUUACUUUUUUGAAAGUUCUACAGAAACUGUCCCUUACAUGUCUGACUGAGCUCAUAAUAGUUUCUCUGUGAUAAAUAUGAACUAGUGGGAAAUAGAAAAGGAACUAGUGGGAAAGAGAAAGU